rnacentral:rRNA from 1 species
UUUGAAAUCUGGCUCCCUUGGGGGUCCGAGUUGUAAUUUGUAGAGGGUGCUUUGGUAUUAGCUGUGGUCUAAGACCCUUGGAACAGGGCGUCACAGAGGGUGAGAAUCCCGUAUGUGGCCAGCAGCUCUUGCCUUGUAAAGCCCCUUCGACGAGUCGAGUUGUUUGGGAAUGCAGCUCUAAAUGGGAGGUAAAUUUCUUCUAAAGCUAAAUACUGGCCAGAGACCGAUAGCGCACAAGUAGAGUGAUCGAAAGAUGAAAAGCACUUUGGAAAGAGAGUCAAAAAGCACGUGAAAUUGUUGAAAGGGAAGCGCUUGCAGCCAGACUUGCCCGUAGUUGUUCAUCUAGGCUUCUGCCUGGUGCACUCUUCUGCGGGCAGGCCAGCAUCAGUCCAGGCGGUCGGAUAAAGGCCUUGGGAAUGUGGCUCCUUUCGGGGAGUGUUAUAGCCCAGGGUGCCAUGCGGCCAGCCUGAACUGAGGUCCGCGCUUCUGCUAGGAUGCUGGCGUAAUGGCUGUAAGCGGCCCGUCUUGAAACACGGACCAAGGAGUCUAACAUCUAUGCGAGUGUUUGGGUGUCAAGCCCGAGCGCGCAAUGAAAGUGAACGGAGGUGGGAACCCCUCGGGGUGCACCAUCGACCGAUCCUGAUGUCUUCGGAUGGAUUUGAGUAAGAGCAUAGCUGUUGGGACCCGAAAGAUGGUGAACUAUGCCUGAAUAGGGUGAAGCCAGAGGAAACUCUGGUGGAGGCUCGCAGCGGUUCUGACGUGCAAAUCGAUCGUCAAAUUUGGGCAUAGGGGCGAAAGACUAAUCGAACUAUCUAGUAGCUGGUUCCUGCC